rnacentral:rRNA from 1 species
UACAGAGGGUGCGAGCGUUGUCCGGAAUCACUGGGCGUAAAGGGCGCGUAGGUGGUGGCUCAAGCGUGCGGUGAAAGCUCGGAGCUCAACUCCGAGUCGGCCGUGCGAACUGGGCUCACUGGAGCAUAGUAGAGGCAGGUGGAAUUCCGGGUGUAGCGGUGGAAUGCGUAGAGAUCCGGAAGAACACCGGUGGCGAAGGCGGCCUGCUGGGCUAUGGCUGACACUGAGGCGCGACAGCGUGGGGAGCAAACAGG